AGGACGAACGCUGGCGGCGUGCUUAACACAUGCAAGUCAAGGGGGCCCAGUAGCAAUACUGGGCAACCGGCGAACGGGUGCGUAACACGUGAGCAACCUACCGAAAUGUGGGGGAUAGCCGGCCUAACGGCCGAGUAAUACCGCAUACGCUCUCGAUGAGGCAUUUCAUUGAGAGGAAACCUACGGGACAUUUCGAGGGCUCGCGGCCUAUCAGCUAGUUGGAGAGGUACGCUCACAGGCAACGACGGUAGCUGGUCUGAGAGGAUGGCCAGCCACAGUUGGGACUGAGAUAGUCGGCCCAGACCUCCGUAGGGAGCAGGC
rnacentral:rRNA from 1 species